GAGGUUCGACUCGAGCGCAGCGAGAGAACGUUGCGUCAGCAACGGCCCUCAGGGCGAGCCACGCAGUGGCGAGUCAUCCUCUAUCACCGACCA
rnacentral:sRNA from 3 species